rnacentral:rRNA from 1 species
CAGCCGCCGCGGUAAUACGGAGGGUGCAAGCGUUAUCCGGAUUUAUUGGGUUUAAAGGGUCCGUAGGCGGAUCUGUAAGUCAGUGGUGAAAUCUCACAGCUUAACUGUGAAACUGCCAUUGAUACUGCAGGUCUUGAGUAAAUUUGAAGUGGCUGGAAUAAGUAGUGUAGCGGUGAAAUGCAUAGAUAUUACUUAGAACACCAAUUGCGAAGGCAGGUCACUAAGAUUUAACUGACGCUGAUGGACGAAAGCGUGGGGAGCGAACAGGAUUAAAUACCCCCGUAGUCCCUGUCUCUUAUAC